AUACGUAGGGGGCGAGCGUUGUCCGGAAUGAUUGGGCGUAAAGGGCGCGUAGGCGGCCCGGUAAGUCUGGAGUGAAAGUCCUGUUUUUAAGAUGGGAAUUGCUUUGGAUACUGUCGGGCUUGAGUGCAGGAGAGGUAAGUGGAAUUCCCAGUGUAGCGGUGAAAUGCGUAGAGAUUGGGAGGAACACCAGUGGCGAAGGCGACUUUAUGGAUUGUGACGGAAGCUGAGGUGUGAAAGGGUGGGGAGCAAACUGGUUUAGAUACCUUGGUGGUCCUGGACGUAAACGGUGAAUACUAGGUGAAGUGGGUAUCGGCUCCCUCGGUGCUGCAGUGAACACAAUAAGUAUUCCGCCUGGGGAGUACGGCCGCAAGGUUGAAACUCAAAGGAAUUGUCGGGG
rnacentral:rRNA from 1 species